UCCUUUGUAAGGCGCAGCAAAAAAGACAAUCAGAUACAAUAUCAGGGAUCUUCUGGUAAGGCUUCUGGCUACCAUUAGUUCUGAAUAGAGAGGAUUUGACGAGAAAAAUGGCUGUGAGUUUUGAAAUGUCUUUGAGAAUUUCUUGGAUUUGUUGCCUGCUAAUUGGAGGGAUAACCUGUUAUCCUCCACCUAAAGGUAAUUAUAGAUAUAUUCCCCAAAAUCAAUUAAAAGGAAUUGGCCACAAUGCAGCGGUAGCUACCGGAUCCCGUGCCUCGGCAGGUGAAGCUACCGGAUCCCGUGCCUCGGCAGGUGAAGCAUCCACCCGUAAUGCCACUGCAAGCGUCACGACUGGCCCAAAUACCUUAGCUGAAGCAAACUGGCCACAAUGCUU